rnacentral:lncRNA from 1 species
GAAUGUUAUACUGGAUUCAAAUUGGGACAACUAAGUCUGAGAUCCACCUCCAUCACUUUGGGCAUAUCACUUCUCUAGACCUCGUUUCCCUUAUUGGUAAAUUGAGAAUUUGAGUGCCUCUUCUAUAUAGGAUUUUCCAACUCUGACACGUCACAAUUCUUCCAGUGCCUCAAGAGAUGAUAGUACUAUACAGGACCUACUGCAUCUUUUUUGCAACUAACUUUGCAAUAACGCUGUUUGGAAAGAAGAUGACCCAAACUGUAUUAAUUAGUAAAUGCCAAAGGCAGCAACUGGAGUCUGUGAGCUACUCCUCUCGCUAUGCUCUGGGCCUCUUUUAUGAAGCUGGCACGAAGAUUGACGUCCCUUGGGCUGGGCAGUACAUCACCAGUAAUCCCUGCAUACGCUUCGUCUCCAUUGAUAAUAAGAAGCGCAAUAUAGAGUCAUCAGAAAUCGGGCCUUCCUUGGUGAUUCACACCACUGUCCCUUUUGGAGUUACAUACUUGGAGCAUAGCAUCGAGGAUGUGCAGGAGUUAAUCUUCCAGCAGUUGGAAAAUAUUUUGCCAGGUUUGCCUCAGCCAGUUGCUACCAAAUGCCUGAAAUGGAGACAUUCACAGGUUACAAAUGCUGCUGCCAACUGUCCUGGUCAGAUGACUCUUCGUCUCAAACCUCUCCUUGUGUGUGGAGGGGAUGGAUUUACUCAGUCCAACUUUGAUGGCUGCAUCACUUCUGCCUUAAGUGUUCUGGAAGCUUUAAAAAAUCAUCUUUAGUACCUGUAUUCUUAUUGUCUACAUUUUAUUUUUGUUUUCCCAAUUUUCUGUUGUCAGUUAUUUAGUUUCUAUUUUGUUGAGAAAACUUACUAGAAAAUUAUUCUUCACUUAUGGUCAUUUUUCAUAUAGAGUAUAAAAUCAAUUUUAUAAUUGUGAUAGUUAUAGCCCAUAUAAGAAUUAAAACUCUUUGUAUCUUACACCUUUCCCCACUUUUCUGAAUUUCUGUGACCAAUCCUUACUGGAGGAAAAAUGGUGCUUUAGAAUGACAAAUAGACUCCCCCAAAAGUUAUGUUAAAUCAGAAGUAACAGUUUGUGUGCCAAAACCUCUAUUAUCCUCUUGAAAUCAGUUCUGAAUAAAGAAUAAUCAUCAUGAAGACCUUGUUUUAGGUCUUCAACUGUGUCCUUCAAUUAACAUUUUUGCAAAUUACCGAACUACAAGAUUUCUCCGAACCUAGUAUAAUUUUUCUUUCUCCUUUUCAAGUUGUUAAAUGAUUUGAAUUGUAGGUUAUAUGUGUCAUCAUUUUAGGUUUGCAGUUUGGAGGGCAACUUGACUGACAGAGGAAUCUACCUAUAGAUUUUUAGAAAAUAGCAAGAUUUAACUUGAUUUUCCAAGUCACACAGUACUUGCUAUACUUAAAACAAAUCUGUCUUAAUAUGAAAGAUAAAAAUUAAAUGGAAACUGAGAGGAAACUUAUCAGUCUUAACAUUUGUAUAUCCUGUGGCUGAUGCUGUUACAUUUCUGUACUCUCCAGCAUGUGCUGUGGCAUUUAGACUGUGUCAAGUUUAAUGAGUUUUUUGUUGUCCAACAAAAAAUUUACUGAACCAGAAAAUAGAUGCACUUAAAAUAGUUCAAUAUUUGCCAACUUAGUAGUUUCAGCAUAUCACCCACAUGCUUCAAUGGCUUGACCCCAUGACUUGCUGGCUGAAGAGAAAUUAUCCCUGGCCUUUCACAUAAGCUACCUGUUGCUAAUUUGAAAAACAAAAUGAUGAGUUCUAUUUUAUAUCGAAAGGAAAGAAAUUGUUGCAGCCUCCUAAACUAAGUUUGGCAGAAGACUUCUUACCUUGGUAGUGUUUAAGGAUUUACACCUACAGGCCCACUCUUAUAUGUACACAAAUACAGGUACAUGUGGGACUUGCUUAAGUAUCUACAAAGUGGAUUUUGUGAUCCUAUUGUUUCCUUUUGGCAAUUAAAUGGUUAAAAAAAUUAAACUAAAAUGCCUACAUAUGGUUAAAGUCUCUUAUUUUGAAAAUAGAGAAACAAAAAAGAAAAUUAAUGCAGUUUCUGGAAUAAAAUAUUGAAAAGUAGUGAGUUUGUUUACUUGUUUUUCAUCAUUGUGGCCCAUGUUUGAUUAACAUUUGUCUUUCUAUUGAUUUUUCUCUUAAAAUGUGGUAGAAAAGUCACUCAAUCUAACUUGCAUUUUCUUUUUUUGGGGGGUGGGAGGGGUAGGUACCAGGGAUUGA